UCGGUUCCUGGAAAUAGCUCCAUCGAUAUAGACCGUACCCUAAACCGACACAGGUGGACUGGUAGAGUAUACCAAGGCGCUUGAGAGAACUAUACUGAAGGAACUCGGCAAAUUGCAUGCGUAACUUCGGGAUAAGCAUGACUUCUAUCGGGGCAACCCUUUAGGAGUGGCACAAAAGAGGGGGUGGCGACUGUUUACUAAAAACACAGGGCUCUGCGAAGAUGCAAAUCGACGUAUAGGGUCUGACGCCUGCCCGGUGCCGGAAGGUUAAAAGGAGAUGUGCAAGCAUUGAAUUGAAGCCCCGGUAAACGGCGGCCGUAACGAUAACGGUCCUAAGGUAGCGAAAUUCCUUGUCGGGUAAGUUCCGACCUGCACGAAUGGCGUAACGACUUCCCCACUGUCUCCAGUAUAGACUCAGCGAAAUUGAAUUCCCCGUGAAGAUGCGGGGUUCCUGCGGUCAGACGGAAAGACCCCAUGCACCUUUACUAUAGCUUUACGCUGGCAUUUGUGUCGGCAUGUGCAGGAUAGGUGGUAGGCUUUGAAGCAGGGACGCUAGUUUCUGUGGAGCCGCAAGAUGAGAUACCACCCUUAUCGUCAUAGAUGUCUAACCGCGGCAUAACAGUGUCCGGGACAGCGUAUGGUGGGUAGUUUGACUGGGGCGGUCGCCUCCCAAAGAGUAACGGAGGCGCGCGAUGGUGGGCUCAGACCGGUCGGAAAUCGGUCGCUGAGUGCAAUGGCAUAAGCCUGCCUGACUGCGAGAUCGACAGAUCGAGCAGAGACGAAAGUCGGUCAUAGUGAUCCGGUGGUCCCGCGUGGAAGGGCCAUCGCUCAACGAAUAAAAGGUACGCUGGGGAUAACAGGCUGAUGAUGCCCAAGAGUCCAUAUCGACGGCAUCGUUUGGCACCUCGAUGUCGGCUCAUCACAUCCUGGGGCUGGAGCAGGUCCCAAGGGUAUGGCUGUUCGCCAUUUAAAGUGGUACGUGAGCUGGGUUUAGAACGUCGUGAGACAGUUCGGUCCCUAUCUGCCGUGGGUGUAGGAAUAUUGAGAAGAGCUGACCCUAGUACGAGAGGACCGGGUUGGACGAAUCUCUGGUGGACCUGUUGUGGCGCCAGCCGCAUUGCAGGGUAGCUAAAUUCGGACGGGAUAACUGCUGAAAGCAUCUAAGCAGGAAGCCUCCUUCAAAACUAGUAUUCCCUUGAGAGCCGUGGAAGACCACCACGUCGAUAGGCCGGGUGUGGAAGCGUAGCAAUAUGUGAAGCUUACCGGUACUAAUAGCUCGAAAA
rnacentral:rRNA from 1 species